UGGGGAAUAUUGGGCAAUGGGGGAAACCCUGACCCAGCAACGCCGCGUGAGGGAAGAAGGAAGUGACGGUACCUGAGGAGGAAGCCCCGGCUAACUACGUGCCAGCAGCCGCGGUAAUACGUAGGGGGCGAGCGUUGUCCGGAAUGACUGGGCGUAAAGGGCGCGUAGACGGCUGUCUAAGUCUGGAGUGAAAGUCCUGCUUUCAAGGUGGGAAUUGCUUUGGAGACUGGAUGGCUUGAGUGCGGAAGAGGUAAGUGGAAUUCCCAGUGUAGCGGUGAAAUGCGUAGAGAUUGGGAGGAACACCAGUGGCGAAGGCGACUUACUGGGCCGUAACUGACGUUGAUGCGCGAAAGCGUGGGGAGCGAACAGG
rnacentral:rRNA from 2 species